rnacentral:lncRNA from 1 species
UGUCCCCUGACUUAACUACUUAUUUUGCAUGUUCAAGAAAUGAAGUAUAGUCAUGCACAGAUAAUGCUUCUGUCAACAAUGGACUACAUAUAUGACAGUGGCAGUCUCCUAAUAUUAUAAUAAAUUAUUUUCACUGUACCUUUUCUAUCUUUAGAUAUCUUUAGAUACACAAAUACUUCCAAUUGCCUUACAAUUGUUUGCAGCA